rnacentral:rRNA from 1 species
CCUACGGGAGGCAGCAGUAGGGAAUCUUCCACAAUGGACGAAAGUCUGAUGGAGCAACGCCGCGUGAGUGAAGAAGGGUUUCGGCUCGUAAAGCUCUUUUGGUAGUGAAGAAAGAUAGAGGUAGUAACUGGCCUUUUUUUGACGGUAAUUACUUAGAAAGUCACGGCUAACUACGUGCCAGCAGCCGCGGUAAUACGUAGGUGGCAAGCGUUGUCCGGAUUUAUUGGGCGUAAAGCGAGUGCAGGCGGUUCAAUAAGUCUGAUGUGAAAGCCUUCGGCUCAACCGGAGAAUUGCAUCAGAAACUGUUGAGCUUGAGUGCAGAAGAGGAGGGUGGAACUCCAGGUGUAGCGGUGGAAUGCGUAGAUAUAUGGAAGAACACCAGUGGCGAAGGCGGCUCUCUGGACUGCAACUGACGCUGAGGCUCGAAAGCAUGGGUAGCGAACAGGAUUAGAUACCCCGGUAGUC